GGCUAGCGUUGUUCGGAAUUACUGGGCGUAAAGCGCACGUAGGCGGCUUUGCAAGUCAGAGGUGAAAGCCCGGGGCUCAACCCCGGAAUUGCCUUUGAGACUGCAUCGCUAGAAUUGUGGAGAGGUGAGUGGAAUUCCGAGUGUAGAGGUGAAAUUCGUAGAUAUUCGGAAGAACACCAGUGGCGAAGGCGACUCACUGGACACAUAUUGACGCUGAGGUGCGAAAGCGUGGGGAGCAAACAGG
rnacentral:rRNA from 1 species